rnacentral:lncRNA from 1 species
AAAUACGUGUACAUUUUUAUGCUAAAAAUACGCAAAAUAUUUCAAAACUACGUAGGCCAUGAAUUCAUAAUAUCCACUUACCUUAGGUCCUUAGCAGUCGUAGUCUUAUUUCCAACAGAGUUCGGGCUUUAUUUAUGACUUUUUCUCCUAAAAAAUUGAUAGAGUUUCGGGAUAAUUUUUUGUUACUUUCUUGACUCAAAAAUAUACAACACAAUACUCAAAAACAAAUCCCAAAAUAAAAAAGAAAUUGAACUUCAAAACUUAAGAAAAAAUUUACAUUUCUAAUAGUUUAUAACUUC